rnacentral:rRNA from 1 species
CCUCCAUGGGCGGAUUAGUGGCGAACGGGUGAGUAAUACGUGAGUAACCUGCCCUUGACUCUGGGAUAAGCCUGGGAAACUGGGUCUAAUACUGGAUACUACCGUCCACCGCAUGGUGGGUGGUGGAAAGGGUUCUACUGGUUUUGGAUGGGCUCACGGCCUAUCAGCUUGUUGGUGGGGUAAUGGCUCACCAAGGCGACGACGGGUAGCCGGCCUGAGAGGGUGACCGGCCACACUGGGACUGAGACACGGCCCAGACUCCUACGGGAGGCAGCAGUGGGGAAUAUUGCACAAUGGGCGGAAGCCUGAUGCAGCGACGCCGCGUGAGGGAUGACGGCCUUCGGGUUGUAAACCUCUUUCAGUAGGGAAGAAGCGAGAGUGACGGUACCUGCAGAAGAAGCGCCGGCUAACUACGUGCCAGCAGCCGCGGUAAUACGUAGGGCGCAAGCGUUGUCCGGAAUUAUUGGGCGUAAAGAGCUCGUAGGCGGUUUGUCGCGUCUGCUGUGAAAGCCCGGGGCUCAACCCCGGGUCUGCAGUGGGUACGGGCAGACUAGAGUGCAGUAGGGGAGACUGGAAUUCCUGGUGUAGCGGUGAAAUGCGCAGAUAUCAGGAGGAACACCGAUGGCGAAGGCAGGUCUCUGGGCUGUUACUGACGCUGAGGAGCGAAAGCAUGGGGAGCGAACAGGAUUAGAUACCCUGGUAGUCCAUGCCGUAAACGUUGGGCACUAGGUGUGGGGGACAUUCCACGUUUUCCGCGCCGUAGCUAACGCAUUAAGUGCCCCGCCUGGGGAGUACGGCCGCAAGGCUAAAACUCAAAGGAAUUGACGGGGG